AGAGAAAAGACCAGGUGAAUUUACAGUGCCCAUGGCAGCCAGACUCCACACCUAGUGCUUUGUCUAAUACAGAGAGCUAAGUAAACCAAAACUCGAGUGGUCUGGUAUUCUCUUAAUGGACAGUGAACGUUUACAUAAGAUGCAGUGCCUCCUUUUUCUUUCGGGACGUGACAUCAUCACGCUGCCCCUCUGAAACAGCACAGCAGGACCGACACAGUCUCUCUCAUCCCAUUUCCCCGGCAGAAUCGCCCUCAGAUGCGUGUGCAGAGGAACGGGAGGCUCACCUGGCUCAGACCUUUUCUCCACGAGCGAGGAGCUGGCGUCUCCCCCCUCUGCCUCAGGACCAGCUGCGAGGGCAAGCAGAGGGAGGUUAGGAGCGAGCCUCGUGUAGGAGGCAGGCCGGUGUCAGAUAGAAAUGGCACACCCUGUACGGCACAAACGUCAACCACAAGGAUGGACCACGGUCAGGCUGCACCCUUCCUGCUCACAACAGGACAGACAGCACGAACAGGACAGGCCUGCAACCAGAGCUCCCAUCUACAGAGCUUCUCUUCAAAUUUCUAUUUCUGGGCGGUCCUUGAGGCCUCUCGUGAAUGUUUGGCGUGCACUGCAGGUACGAGGGCGGGCGGGCCAGGCUGAGGCCCCGCCCAC